GGAGCCGGCCAGACAGUCGCGUCAUGCGCAAGCAUGCCGAGGAAAGUCCGGGCUCCACAGGGCACGGUGCCAGGUAACGCCUGGGCGGCGCGAGCCGACGGAAAGUGCAACAGAAAGAUACCGCCGAUGGCCCUCGCCACCCCGGUGCGGCCCCACACAGGGGGACAUGACGAUGCGAAGCAUCGGCCAAGUCCCUUCAGGGAAGGCCGCAGCGGGGUGGCGAGGGAUCAGGCAAGGGUGAAAUGGUGCGGUAAGAGCGCACCGCGAGCCUGGCAACAGGCCGGCACGGCAAACCCCACCGGGAGCAAGGCCAAAUAGGGACCUCAUGACGCGGCCCGCGUCGGGUCCGGGUAGGCUGCUUGAGCGCCGCGGUGACGCGUCGCCCAGAGGAAUGACUGUCCACGACAGAACCCGGCUUAUCGGCCGGCUCCGCCA
rnacentral:RNase_P_RNA from 1 species